UCGGCCGUGGUGUCCUGCCCACGCCCGCUUCUGGUAGUGGACUUCGAUCAAUUUCAAUCAGCGGGGAGACUGGGUUCGAUUCCCAGCGGCCGAA